rnacentral:rRNA from 1 species
CCUACGGGAGUCAGCAGUAAGGAAUAUUGGUCAAUGGACGAAAGUCUGAACCAGCCAUGCCGCGUGAAGGAUGAAGGCCCUCUGGGUUGUAAACUUCUUUUAUCUGGGACGAAAAAAGCUCAUUCUUGAGCACUUGACGGUACCAGAGGAAUAAGCACCGGCUAACUCCGUGCCAGCAGCCGCGGUAAUACGGAGGGUGCAAGCGUUAUCCGGAUUCACUGGGUUUAAAGGGUGCGUAGGUGGGUCUGUAAGUCAGUGGUGAAAUCUCCGAGCUUAACUCGGAAACUGCCAUUGAUACUAUAGGUCUUGAAUCAUCUGGAGGUAAGCGGAAUAUGUCAUGUAGCGGUGAAAUGCUUAGAUAUGACAUAGAACACCAAUUGCGAAGGCAGCUUACUACGGUGCAUUGACACUGAGGCACGAAAGCGUGGGGAUCAAACAGGAUUAGAUACCCUGGUAGUCCACGCCCUAAACGAUGGAUACUCGACAUCAGCGAUACACUGUUGUGUCUGNGNGAAGANAUAUAUCCACCNCGAGACGACGACGAGUAGACGUACAANAGAGUAGAGACGAGAGAGNGCGACGGACGACGACGAGGGAGGAGG